UCCAUCUAUCUUCAUUGGUAAAAUUAUCUCUUACUAAAUGCAAGCCAACGGAAGAAGGAAUCCCCGGUGAUAUUUGGAACCUAUCUCCACUGCAACAAUUAUCUCUACGUGACUGCAAUCUAAUGGAAGGAAAGAUCCUCAAUCAUAUUUGCCAUCUAACAUCCUUGGAAGAAUUAUAUUUGGGUUGGAACCAUUUUAGUAGCAUACCUGCUGGCAUCAGUCGACUUUCCAAUCUAAAAGCCCUUGACUUGAGUCACUGCAAGAACCUUCAACAAAUUCCAGAGCUUCCAUCAAGUCUACGAUUUUUAGAUGCGCACUGUUCGGAUAGUAUUUCAUCAAGCCCCUCGCUUCUACCAAUUCUUUCUAUGGUCAACUGCUUCAAAUCAGAAAUUGAGGGCCGCAAGGUUAUUAAUCGUUAUUCUAUCUUCUACGGCAAUGGAAUUGGUAUUGUUAUUCCUAGAAGUAGUGGAAUUCUAGAGUGGAUAACGUAUCGGAACAUGGGAAGGAAUAAAAUAACAAUAGAGCUCCCUCCGAAUUGGUAUGAAAAUGAUGACUUGUGGGGAUUUGCUUUAUGCUGUGUUUAUGUUACACUUGCCUAUAAAUCUCCGGAUGAACCAGAUCCUAUAUCUGAGGAUUACAUUGAACUUAUGCCAAGGUUCUAUUGUAAUUUGACAAUCGAAGGAAAUAAUCAACUAGAACUCGUGGGUUGUUUCUCUUUUAUUUCUCGCUGUGUUCAAUCAGUUCUAUGUGAUGUAUCAGUUAUGCAGUGGGUGAUAUGUUAUCCCAAGUUAGCUAUUGAGAAAAGUUAUCACACCAAUCAAUGGACACACUUCAAUGCUUCAUUUUAUGGUGCCCUAGUGGAAGAGUGCGGAAUCCGUCUUGUAUACAGAGAAGAUUAUGAACAGAAGCAUCCAACAAUGGCACAAGGCAGUACUUCUCAUGGGAAUUUUGGUGAGCAUGGAUCAGUAAGAGAAGAUACUAAUAGUAAAGCUCACAAUAAAAGGAAUCCCAACAGAGCCCAGGAGAGGAGUGUCACCAAAAGAUUUAGAGAAACCCAAGACUGAUCCCAAGUAUUAGGCUCAACCACACUUGCAUCACUAAUGUUCUCUUUACUGGAUAACCAUGUGGAGACACCUGAAGAGCUUCCUAAAAAUAGAUGUUCUUUGGUCAUUCUAUCGAUAAACAGUAUAGAGAACAGGUCAGUACUUCAUGUUGCUCUCUGUGCUCCAAAGGAUGCUGUUAUAUAGAGUGAUGGAAAGAGUAUGGUCCCAGACGUCUACAAGGUUCUAGACAAGAUCAGAGCAUUUUUUAGACUGCCUGUAGUGGUCCCUUGGUAAUCAAAGUUGUUGUUUAUAAAUCUAAUUCAGACAUGUAAUCUAUAAAUAUCAUCAAGUAGUAAUUAAAUGUUGUGCUAGGAAAAAAGUAAUAAUUAAAUCCUGGUAGGUUGUAGCUACUAGAAAAGCCAAAUGGAUGUAAUUUCUGUUGGCAUUGGUGGCAACUUCUUAGCUAGACCCUCCUUUUUGUGCACACUGCUCUACCAACAGGAUUAGAUUCAUAAUUUAGUCAGCAGCCUUGUAAGUAGUUUGAUUCUGUCUUUUCAAAAGGGGAAUUUGUUUAUUGUUUUCCAUUUGAAAUGUCCGAGAUUGUUCCAUAUUAAACUCUGCCUGAUAUUUAUAGUUUAAUCUUGACAACCUGCGAAUCCAGAGGCUAUUAAAUCUGCAAAAGGACACCAGCUGCCUUUGUAAGUAAUCUUUUACUUAUAUCACUUAAUACUAUUACCCUCGUUUUCCUUAUCCCAACCUAUUCUUUUAUCUGCAUUUGCUUGUAGCCUUGCAAAUGUUGAUCCUGUUGAUGUUGCUAGAAUUAUCACAGGGCUGAACCCUGAAACUAAUUUAGGGCUUCGACAGCAGCAAAGCAUAUGAUGGCUUGCAGUACUAAUCUUACAGCAUAUUCUCCCUCUUGCAGAUAGAUAAUGUCCAAUAUAU